GCAACAUGACCUUCCUUUCUCUAAGGUUGACCUCGGAUCAGGUGGGGAUACCCG
rnacentral:rRNA from 1 species